GUUCACAAAACACCAUGGAAAUAAAUGCUAAUUAAUGUGCCAGGCCUGAUUUAAAGCAACCUUAUUUUGUGGGUCACAAAUUUUUAGAAGAAUCCUUGAAAUAAACUACUCCAUACCACCGAUAUUUUAAAUAAAAGCAGGCAGUUUUUGCUCUCCCGCGUGAGCUGGCUUCAAGUAUCUACCUUUUUUCAACGCAACCCUAACCCAACCCUUAAAAUAGAUAUCUAAAAUAAUUUCAUCCCUUGAGAUAGAUAGAGAGGUAUAUUCCCAUUUUAAAAAAAAAAAAAAGAUAGAGAGGUAUAAACACACAUUUUCGUUCUCUCUCUCACACUGUAGUCAUUUUCCAUUUUCGUUCAGAAAACUCUCUCAGAAACUCAAAUAUCAGAAAAUUCACUCUCUCACAAACUUCCAUUGCUUUUGUACUUUGAAUAUCGGAAUCUGAAUCAGCUUCCACAACAAGCUUUUCUCUCUCAAUCACUUAGAGACUUAUAUCCGAUUCUAUAGGUUCAAACCAUUUAUGCAAAAAGAACCUGCGGGGCUUGAAGGCCAUUUGCUUGAUUGAUCAUAAAGGACUAAGAGGCAUUGGGAGAGGAACAAUAACUUACUGCUUGUGUUAUAGUAAUGGGAGCAUCCAAGCUUGUACAAACCCUCUUGUCUCAAGCACAUGGAGGAGGUACUACUUAGUUGGAACCAAAUCUAUUUCUCAUUAAGGAUCAGCUGUAAUAUAGGUUUCCCCAAUGGAUACAUUGAUUUCUCAUUAAGAAGACAAUUCAAAUCGGAUAAUACAGGAGAGUCUGAAGCUCAUUCAUCAUUAGAAAUUCUCUUUCACAAAAAUAUGGCUUUUAGCUACUCAAUUUGAGAUCCGGCAGUUGAAUCUCAAGGCUGCACUACAGAUCCUACGCAAUGCAAUUGGAAAAACUCCUAAAGAUAAGGCAAGAUAGUGGUGUCCUUGGCCAUUACUGAGGCAGCUUAUACGCCCAUGUUGCACUCUCGCAUUUUUACCGAGACUGAAAAGUACUGUGACCAGGAAUUUACCACUUGCAAGGAGGAUCAGCCAUUGUUUGUCCAAAUGAUCCAGACAUUUGUUAGAGGCUGCAAAGAGAGUGGAAGCUUUUUGUGACUAUGUUGACAUCAAUUUGGGGUGGCUUUGCUGUUAAUUUGGGUUGCUGAUAUAAGGAAACAUGUGAAGAAUUUAGAAUUUGGGAAGGGACAUGUAUAUAAAGCUGUGCAUGUAACCGAUUUUUAUUUCCUUUCAUCAACUUUGGCCUUAUAUAGGAUGUAUUAGGAUUUGUUCUGUUCACCUACUACCAUGAUAGAUUGUGCAAAGAACCUUGCUUUUACAAUUUAAAACUCUUGCCCCUGUUGACUAUUGAAUUAGAUCAUAUAAAUAUUGAUCGGGUUAAUUUGA